rnacentral:rRNA from 1 species
UACGAAGGGUGCAAGCGUUACUCGGAAUUACUGGGCGUAAAGCGUGCGCAGGCGGUUGUGCAAGACAGAUGUGAAAUCCCCGGGCUUAACCUGGGAAUGGCAUUUGUGACUGCACGGCUAGAGUGUGUCAGAGGGGGGUGGAAUUCCACGUGUAGCAGUGAAAUGCGUAGAUAUGUGGAGGAAUACCGAUGGCGAAGGCAGCCCCCUGGGAUAACACUGACGCUCAUGCACGAAAGCGUGGGGAGCAAACAGG